CAUGGCUCAAAGUCACACGGUAGGCUCAGAGAAACGUGCAAAUGGCUAUUACCAGUUAUGGUGCCUUUAGAGCGCCCCACCCAUAGAACAUUGGAUACAUGCGGCAGCGAAAGGUGAAAUUAUUUUGGCGCCGCCCGCGGAGACGCGAAAGCUUUUUAUUGUCACCACCAACUUUUUUCUUAAAAAGAAAAGGAAACCAGAAAAAUUUUGCGAACCGAAGGGCCUUGAGCCGACGACGUUUCAAUUGAGUUUCUGCCCUAUCAACUUGUUGGUAAGGUAUUGGCUUACCAAGGUUGCAACGGGUAACGGGGAAUCAGGGUUCGAUUCCGGAGAGGGAGCCUGAGAAACGGCUACCACAUCCAAGGAAGGCAACAGGCGCGCAAAUUACCCAAUCUAGACGUAGGAGGUGGUGAAGAAAAUUACUAAGUGGUGGUUUAAUUGAUCACCCGCUUGGAAUGAACGUAACUUAAGAAAUUCGAUGAGAAACAACUGGAGGGCAAGUCCUGGUGCCAGCAGCCGCGGUAAUUCCAGCUCCAGUAGUUUGCUUUAAAGUUGUUGCGUUUAAAACGCUCGUAGUUGGAUCACGCAGCCGCGUCCAGUAAUCUGCGGCCUGUUCUGAGGGAAGAGUCCCUCUCGCACGACGCGCCUGCUGAACGGGCCACUGAUAUUAACGCUGGACAAGUGUUAGUUGCACGUGAGAUAGGUUGUUGGCCUUAAAUGAGCCGGUAACCCCGUCUUGCGGAGUGUGCCUUGAACAAAACAGAGUGCUCAAAGCAGGCGUUCGCCUGAAUGUUAUAGCAUGGAACGAACAAUCGUGUAUAUGUGCGCGCCAUCUGGUGGCCACGAGCCUUUGGUUGGUAGCUGUUAGAGGCGUGCACGUCACCCACCAAAAUAUGGCUGUUGGUUCCAUAUACGGUGAUGAUUAAAAGGAGCGGUUGGGGUGCAUCGGGUAUUUGGCCGCGAGAGGUAUAAGUCUUAGAGCGGGUCAAGGUCUAACACAUGCAAAGGCAUUAGUAUAGACAGUGUCCCUUUAAUCAAGAGUGAACGUGGGAGGUUAGAAGACGAUCAGAUACCGUCGUAGUUCCCACUGUAAACUAUGCCGACCUGGGAUCAGUCCAGAGAUGUUACAAGCUCUAGAUUGGUCCCCCUGGGAAACUUGAACUUCUUGGGAUACGGGGAGAGUAUGGUCGCAAGGCUGAAAUUUAAGGGAAUUGACGGAAGGGCACCACCAGGGGUGGAGCAUGCGGCUUAAUUUGACUCAACACGGGGAAACUUACCUGGUCCGGACAUCGAUAGGAUUCACAGAUCGAUAGCUCUCUUAUGAUCCGAUGUGUGGUGGUGCAUGGCCGUUGUUAGUUCGUGGACUGUUCUGUCUGCCUGAUCGCGGUAACGAACGAGACCACGGUCUCCAUUUGACCGCUGUGUGCAGGCGAUACUCUAGACAGGUUCACGGUAGUGUAAGGUUGGUGACGCUCGAAGCGUGGAGGGACGAGUGAGCGAGCGGAGGAAGGCAACUUCAGACAAGAGUUUGCUCGGUUGAACACGUCUCCCUCUCAUCACGCAGAUGUUGGUAUCAACUGACAGCUGCCUUAGGAGAGACAACGAGGUAUAAACAAGCUCGAGGAAGAGUGGCUAUAACAGGUCAGUUGA
rnacentral:rRNA from 1 species